CAGCAAGGUUUUAUUAUCUGUCCAUGUGCUGUCUGUAAGAAUCAGAAGGGUUACUCCUCCUCAAGAGACGUUCACAUGCACCUGCUUCGGCACGGUUUCAUGCGAAGCUAUAAUUGUUGGACCAAGCAUGAAGAAAGAGGGGUUAGAAUGAAAGAAGAUGAAGAAGGGGAUGAUAUCGAUGACAACUAUCAUGAUCAUUUCGGUGAUACUUUCAUGGAGGAUGAUGCUGAAGGUGGGGAAGGGUUAGGUGAAGGUGAAGAAGAGGCACAUGAUGAGCCCGCUGAUGAUCUUGGUCGG
rnacentral:rRNA from 1 species